rnacentral:lncRNA from 1 species
UUUGUAUUUUGUCAUGUUCACACAUCAGGGAUCAGGUAACUGCAAAUUAUUUUUCUCAUGCUCGAAAAAGAUGGCAUGCCCCAGCUACAUGUGAUCAAUGACAAAAAAAGAUCAGGUAAUGUCUCUGUAACACAUCAGGAUUAGGAUGAGGCAACUAGAGAACUCAGUUGCAAAAACACAUGUCGCGCACACAUGCACUGAAAAAAAA